UUCUGGCUCAGAACGAACGCUGGCGGCGCGUUUAAGCAUGCAAGUCGAGCGGCAAGGGCCUUCGGGCCCUGGAGCGGCGGACGGGUGAGUAACACGUGGACAAUCUGCCCCCGGCCCGGGAUAGCCCAGGGAAACCUGGAUUAAUACCGGAUGAGACGGGACCCGCGAUGGCGGGACCCGGGAAAGGCGCUGCGGCGCCGCCGGGGGAUGAGUCUGCGUCCCAUUAGCUAGACGGCGGGGUAACGGCCCACCGUGGCGACGAUGGGUAGCCGGCCUGAGAGGGUGGACGGCCACAUUGGAACUGAGACACGGUCCAGACUCCUACGGGAGGCAGCAGUAGGGAAUCUUCCGCAAUGGACGAAAGUCUGACGGAGCAACGCCGCGUGAGUGAAGAAGGUUUUUUCCGGAUCGUAAAACUCUGUUGUCAGAGAAGAACAAGUUGGAGAGUAACUGCUCCAGCCUUGACGGUAUCUGACCAGAAAGCCACGGCUAACUACGUGCCAGCAGCCGC
rnacentral:rRNA from 1 species